ncrna:Chryseobacterium gleum ATCC 35910 DTF805 RNA
AAAGCGGAACCGAAAAGCUAAACGAGUAGGAA